AUCAGCUCGAACAUUCUCCCCCGGGCGAACGCUGGAACUAGAAGAACUUGAAGACGAAACAUUGUCAAAAAUGGGAAGCAAUGCAAGCUUGUGAACAGGACGUCGAAGAAUUCCUGCCCUUGUCCGGACAUCCACAACUCGCACCAAACCAUCUCUACCAGGAAAAGCUUCUUUAAUUCUCCCCAGUUUCCAAGAACAGGCUGCUCCAUCAGAUAUUCACUUGACCAGCGUCUCCAGAAAUUAUUUCGAAGCUGCUGUACAUACUGUAGACGAGACAACCUGUUUUCCGGAACCCCAUCGUACUUCGGCUCUGGAAUGGCUGUCACGACACGAUCGAUCAUCAAAUGCCCUGGAGUGAGAGGCUCAAGGUCCAUGGCAUCUCCCGAAUGGGCAUACAAUGGACGUGAAUUCAAAUUUGCCUCAAUCUGGCAGAGCAGGGUUGAGAACUCGACCAGGUUGAGGGACGUGGUUUGGCAUAUCUUCUUCAAGAUGGAUUUGGCGCUUUUCACUCCUGCCUCCCAUAUUCCUCCCAUAUGGGGGGCGCUUGGAGGAAUCAUUUUCCAUUUGAUCCUUCGUGGUUGGCAGAAUUCAAACAAUUUUUGUUCCAUAAGUUGCUGUUUGAAAAGUAGGUAAAGCUCCCGCAGUUGGUUUUUUGCACCCACAAAAUUGGUGCCAUUAUCCGAAUAAAUGUACUCGGGAACACCUCGUCGAGAUAUAAAUCGGAGCAGCGCCGCAAUGAAUGAAUCAGUGGAUAAUCCUUCAACGACUUCUAGAUGGAUACCCUUUGUCACCAUACACACAAAGACACAGAUAUAGCCCUUUACCAUCAUGCCCUUCCGACCAGUCUGCUUCAAGAGGAUUGGACCCGCAAAAUCAAGACCAACCCUUUCAAACGCCAGAGCUCGAUCACAACGGCUCGCUGGAAGAUCUCCCAUGAACUGACCUACUGUCAUUGGUUUGGUCUUAAAACACUGAACACAUUUAGACGUAACCUUUCGAACUGCAGAACGACCCUUAGGAAUCCAAAAUUCACGACGAAUUGUUGCAAGGAGGGCGGUUGGUCCAAUAUGCAGAUUUUCCCGAUGAAGUGCGGUAAUUAGGCUGUCAACUACAGGAUGGUGAUUCGGCAGAAUCCAUUGAUGCUUAUUCGGAAAUGGUAAUUUGGAAUGACGCAGACGACCACCAACUCGUAACAUGCCGUCGUAGAGUUCAGGAUUCAUCGCGGACAAUCUCUUGCAAGGUUCACUAGACUGAACCCGGACGAUUUCCUCUCCAAACUCCUGGUACUGGAUUACUCGGACAAUCACUUUCAUAGAUUCGUUUAACUCAUUCACUGUAGGAAAACGCUGCAAAACACGCUCAUUCUGGCUCUUUUUUGACGCGUUCUUGCAGAAACGCAACACAUGCGCAAUAACACGUUGUAACUUUCUAAAGGACUCGAAUUUUGUAAAUACAGAGUAGGGGAGGAAUAUCUCUUUCAUACGAAUCACUUCGCAAGAACAAUGGGCCAUUCCACCACAAAUCGUUCUUCGCUAACUUGGUGGCAGACUGACCUCGCGAUAUAACAUCAGCUGGAUUCUCGUUGGUUCGUACAUAUCGCCAUUCAAAUUCCUCCUUCGUAGAGCCAUGCUAAAACCACCUGACUGUCUGACCACAGUACAAUAGAAUGGAAGCACAAGUCCAUCGCAGACACAGUUUUUCGCACAAGACGAUGGAGAAGUAAAGCAGCAACUAGCUCC